rnacentral:rRNA from 1 species
GGGCGAUGUUUGAUCCUGGCUCAGAGCGAACGCUGGCGGCAGGCUUAACACAUGCAAGUCGAGCGGGCGUAGCAAUACGUCAGCGGCAGACGGGUGAGUAACGCGUGGGAACGUACCUUUUGGUUCGGAACAACACAGGGAAACUUGUGCUAAUACCGGAUAAGCCCUUACGGGGAAAGAUUUAUCGCCGAAAGAUCGGCCCGCGUCUGAUUAGCUAGUUGGUGAGGUAACGGCUCACCAAGGCGACGAUCAGUAGCUGGUCUGAGAGGACGGCCAGCCACACGGGGACUGAGACACGGCCCCGACUCCUACGGGAGGCAGCAGUGGGGAAUAUUGGACAAUGGGCGAAAGCCUGAUCCAGCCAUGCCGCGUGAGUGAUGAAGGCCCUAGGGUUGUAAAGCUCUUUUGUGCGGGAAGAUAAUGACGGUACCGCAAGAAUAAGCCCCGGCUAACUUCGUGCCAGCAGCCGCGGUAAUA